GUGGGGAAUCUUGCGCAAUGGGCGAAAGCCUGACGCAGCCAUGCCGCGUGAAUGAUGAAGGUCUUAGGAUUGUAAAAUUCUUUCACCGGGGACGAUAAUGACGGUACCCGGAGAAGAAGCUCCGGCUAACUUCGUGCCAGCAGCCGCGGUAAUACGAAGGGGGCUAGCGUUGCUCGGAAUUACUGGGCGUAAAGGGCGCGUAGGCGGACAGCUUAGUCAGAGGUGCAAGCUCAGGUCUCAACCUUGGAAUUGCCUUUGAUACUGGCUGUCUUGAGUUUGGGAGAGGUGAGUGGAACUCCGAGUGUAGAGGUGAAAUUCGUAGAUAUUCGGAAGAACACCAGUGGCGAGGGCGACUCACUGGCCCAAUACUGACGCUGAGGCGCGAAAGCGUGGGGAGCAAACAGGAUUAGAAACCCGGGUAGUCC
rnacentral:rRNA from 1 species